AGUCAAUGCUCGAAAGAGUGAACUAGCUAACUGAAAUCCUUGUAUGUGUCAUCAGGGAUAAGGUAAGGGAAAAUAAUGAUACUACCUUACUAUUAGUGUCGUCCAAAACUCGUGCCAGAAGACUCGGUAAGGCGUGAGACGCAAACGUUAAUCAUCUUGAUCAGGCGUAAAGGGUUUGUAGGCUGUUUAUUUCUCUCCCUAGCUUCGCAAAUAAUUCUUUUCUUUGGUUUAUACCGAACAACAGAAUGGAAGCGUAGCAAAAUAUGGUGUUUUUAUCUAAAAUAUCGGUUAUUUUCUAUAAAUUUUAUGGAUGCAUAAAAAAGUAGUAAAAUCUAAAACUAAAAAGUUUUCAAAAAAUUUCUGUUUUUUGAUAAUAGCUUAGCUUUAUGAUGCAACUUUGUUAACUGUUAUUUUUUUAUAAUUUAGGGUAUAUAAACUAGAAUCUAAAGGAGGUUUAAACAAUACUUUUUUAUUCAGGUGUGCGAACCUUAUAGAAAAAGUAGAGUGUUAAAGGCGAAGGCUUUAUUCCAAUAAAGAUUGACGCUGAGAAACGAAGGAGAGGGCAAAAAAAAGAAUUAGAUACUCUUGUAUUCCUCUCUGUAAACGAUGAAUGGUAGUCAUGGGGUAGAAAUAACCUUAAGGCGAUGUUAACACGUAAAACCAUUCCGCCUUGUGAGUACGACUGCAAAGUUGAAAACAAAAAAAUUAGUCAGUUUCGGAGCAAACGAAGUGAAGCAUGUUAUUU
rnacentral:rRNA from 1 species